CCACCAGCUACCAAGGUACCAGUUAAUACCAGAGUCAGGCCAGUUGUUCCACCAGCUACUAAUAUACCAGUUAAUAGCACAUCAGUUCUUCCCCCAUCUUAUGAACAAGUUCUUCAAAUGGACAGUCAAAAAGCCAAAUCUGAAGCAACAGCAGUAUGUGAGAUUCCAAAAUCCAAUCGGAUCGGCCUAUUCAUCAGGUUUCCAGAUGCUCAUAUCGUAGAAUUCAGAUCUUAUAUUCUCAACAACAGACAAUAUCUAAAGCAGAAAGAAGGAGAAUUAUUAGCCCUGUCCAUCCAGCCGAUGUCAGAUUUAGGAAUUUGGCCAGAUCAAACUUCGAUAGCUAUUUUCCUGUUUCCUUCUGCAGAAAAAGCCUCUGAUUGGUUUAAAACCGCUCCUUGUAUCAAUAAAACCUCGUGGAUAAAAUCAUGUGAUGCAACAACUUUUAAAAUGAACAAAGUUCAUAACGAAAAUUACAGAUACUUCGGAAUAAGUUACACAUCUAUAAUAAAUGCUGGUAAAAAUAUAAAAGGACGUAAAGAACUGGGUCGAGUUAUCAGGGAGGUUAUUGUACCGUACAGGAUUCAAAAUGAUGGCAUUUCAUUGACAAUGGCACAAGCCACUGAAGUAUUACAUGGCGAUUGGGUUUCUAAACCAUGGUAUAUAAGUUUAUCACAGUGGUCGUCUUUAAAAGGUUAUGCGGAAUAUAAACGACUAAUUAGUCAAACAAAAGAAUAUGAAAAUGAAAAGAGAAAAUAUUAUAAUACUGUGGGAUCGAUUUUAUUUCAAACUGAAGAUAUAUCGCCAUACCAAGAAUCUGACAUGACAGGCGAUACAGUAGGAGAGAAUUCUGAGAACGAAGCUAACAAUGAUGACACCAUGGAUGUUACUGCUGAAAAUCACGCGGAUAAUGCUGAAACUUCUGACGUAACUAGUGUCAAUGAAAAUGGCGAAAUUCUAACUGAAGACGUCAGUGAUGCGGCACCUUAAAAUAUUUAUAGCCCAAUAAUAAACCCAUCAGACACUUUAAUAUAUGUUUUAAAGGAGCUAAAUCGCUAACAUUUGGGACCUAGAAAUUGACAAAAGUGGGUCGCAACGCAUAUAAUACUGUAAUAUGAAUGUAUAUAAACCAAUGGUAAAAUGUUUAUUCUGUCUUAAAUAUUGGAUAUCAAAAGCCCAUCUUUUUUCCGGUAAGAUCACAACAUGAAUGUUGAUUUAAAUUGACAAAUAAAUCGUGUUUUCAAUGUUGAAGAUUUUGGAUGAUAUUGAGUUAGAAACUUAGCUACUUUAAACUCAUCACAUUUUCAUAUACAAGAUUUUUUUUGGGAUUUUUUACCCAUUUGUUUUUAUUACGCCUC